UCCGGCAUCUAUGGCUUGCGCUGCUUCCGGUGCCGGCUGCCAUCUUGCGCUCGCUUCCAGAAGAGGAGGAAGGUUACCGUGUUUCUCCGUCGCUAUGUCCUUGCAGUUGUUGCUGAGGAGGGGGCUGAGGCUGCAGGGCCUGGCCAGGGGCAUCGCCUCCAAACCUCCGCGGGACCCUAUAGGGCCGAUUGAGUCUGGCAUUGCCCUGACAGCUUUCUUUUUGGCGUUCUUGGUACCUUCCGGCUGGAUCCUGGCAAACUUGGAGUCCUACAAAAGUAAAGAAUGAGGAGACUACCAAAGCCCUGAAGCAUGGGUGGAACCUCCCAGAUGCAUGACUGCCUCUAUUCCAGAGAGGGCAUAUCUCCCAUGCUUUCACUCCAUGAGGACUAGUGUUCUGAAAUACAUUCUGUGCUGCUGUGGACCACGGAGGAUGUAGUCCCAAAUAGCUACCCUCUUGAUAUCUGUUACAAUAAAUCCUGUUACAGACAUAAAACUUCGUGCCUUGGUUCCUUUUCCCCCUGAGUAAAUAAGUGGUAGGUCACAUGGAAUUGCUUCUGAAAUCUCAAAUCUUACAGCAAUGUAUGUUACAUUUGCGUUUGCACCCUGAACUGAGCACGGCUUUGAAGCUCAAAGGGCUUUGGGUGGGCUUUGUGGGCUUUCUGAGUGCUCAAAGGGCUUUGAGCACUUUGAAGCCUCAGUCAAAGGCUGUAUGCUGCUGCCUUGUUAAUCAGUACAACAGCUUAGUAAAAUAGACUGCUUGGAACUUUAGUUUGAUAAGGCGGCACCACAGAGAGCCCUUUGCAGGACUAUAGUUCCCUGGUCUGCUUUUAGGAAUGUCCAAGCAAUUGCAAACUAAGUUGCUCCUACAUUCUGAUUCGUAAUAGUUUAGCUUUGCAAAUGUCAGAGCAGGGAUAAGGGACCUGGAAAGGACAGGAGUACUGUCACAGGAAUGCUGUGAGUUGGGGCAGGCAUCAUACUCUACGGACCAGUUACACUAUCUUAUUUACACGUGCACACACAAACACCUACCCCUACCUUGCAGAGCUCUUAGAAUAAAAUGGAUCUCCCUUUAUACUUCCCUGAACUUCUUUGAAGAGCAAAAUAUAGAUGCAACAUGAAUAUAACAUUAGUACUGAGAGUGAUAGUCUAGUAAAGCCAUCGGAUUUCUAGCUCUACAUUGGCCUAGAAGUACACAGCAUACUGCUCUAAAUUCAACCCAGUGGGCUUUAAAUACUUGGUGCUGACCUUCCUUGAAUCUGAGUGAUAUUGUUUCAAUGGUAGCUCUUUCCUAGGGUAUUUUAAGCUGCUCUUGACUAUUCUGAGACUGAUGAAAUAGACUUUAGCAUUCUACUACUUGAGGGGGGGUGGGAUUGGAGUUUGAGCUGUGCAGAUAAUUAAGAGCCGACUUUCAAAAAUAAAACUAGCAAAGAAGAGCUAUUCUUAAUUGCUCGUGGCUUGGGAUAGCUGAAUGCAUAAUCCGCUCCCAACCUUAAAUCCGUGGUCUGCCUUUGGUCUGCCUCAGUCAGCAUUAUCUACUCUGAUUGGUGGUCUUUCCCAUCACCUGCUGCUUUUAGCUGGAGGAGCCAUAGAUCAACCAUUUUGGCCCCAUCCUAGGUGUGAUAGGUCCUCUCAUGGUUAAGGGAGUAAUCGAACAAGCCAAUAGAAAAUUGGGCUGAGAGCAUCAGCUGAUACUAUCUGCAGUCAGUAGAUUAGGCUACCACAGGCUAGAUCUGAUUGGCUAUUUUUUAUUUUUGAAAAGGGCAGGCUUAUGCUCCUGAAUGCUAUUUGAAUUGUCUUGUGAAGCAGUGCAGUCUUGCAGCUUUAAAGCUGUUUUCUUUUAAGUAGUGUUGUUUCUAAGCAGCAGCAGCAGUAAGUGGUGGCAGAUUCCUAGUGCAAAGACCAAGAUGGAUGCGGUUUUGGGUGCCAACACAAAGAUAUAUGCUUCAACUUGUGGCAUCCCAGAUAGUUCUCAAAGAUGCCAGACACCUCUUAGAAGCCAACGAGAGAAGGGAACCAUACAAGACCGGCUGGGAGCCUAUUGUCUCC